CCUACGGGUGGCAGCAGUGGGGAAUCUUGCACAAUGGGGGAAACCCUUAUGCAGCGACGCCGCGUGAGUGAAGCAGUAUCUCGGUAUGUAAAGCUCUAUCAGCAGGGAAGAAAAUGCCGGUACCUGACUAUGAAGACACGGCUAACUACGUGCCAGCAGCCGCGGUAAUACGUAGGGGGCUAGAGUUAUCCGGAUUUACUGGGUGUAAAGGGAGCGUAGUCGGCGUGUCAAGUCCGGAGUGAAAUCCCAUGGCUUAACCAUGGUACUGCUCUUGAAACUGUGGAGCUUGAGUGCGGGAGCGGCAGGCGGAAUGCAUAGUGUAGCGGUGAAAUGCGUAGAGAUUAGGAGGAACAC
rnacentral:rRNA from 1 species